AGUAUACCACAUGCCUGAUCUAAAAUUAUACCAAGUAUAUCUGUCAUUAAUAAUUUUCUUACAUCAUUUGAUGAUGAUAUCAAAAACAUUACAGCAGUACCAACUCGAGGGGACUUCGCACUCCAAUGCAGCUUUAUACUCAGUGUCCUUACAAUAUCGAGAAAAUGAUAAUUUUAGUGCCUUCCUUCUGAAGGUGCCCCAAUGUGGUGCAUCCUCUACUUACUGGAUUAAGCUGGCUUUGCAUUACAGGCUACACAUUAACAUUUUCUAUUUUUAGCUGUAAACAAAAGAUACAUUCCAAAAUAAUUCAUUGAGUC
rnacentral:lncRNA from 1 species